AAUAUAAACACACGUAUUGUAUGUUGUAAACAUUGGGAACUGAGAAGAGGCGUCCGGCGACAAGAUGCUGCGUCAUCCUAUGAGAGCGUUCGUAAAACAGACAGAAAAUGUGGAAACAACAAAGCUAUAAUCUUUGUCGUCGUCGUUUCUUGAAAAAAAAAAAAAAAAUCAUCAUCAUGGCCUCUGGAGCUUUGUUCCCCAGCAUGGUUUCCGGUUCUCGCGGCUCCUCCAGCAAGUACCUGGUGGAGUUCCGAGCCGGCAAGAUGACCAUGAAGGGCAGCACGGUGACGCCCGACAAGCGCAAAGGCCAAGUCUACGUCCAGCAGACGGACGACUCGCUCAUCCAUUUCUGCUGGAAGGAUCGCACCACCGGCAACGUGGAUGAUGACCUCAUCAUCUUCCCUGACGACUGCGAGUUCAAACGGGUCAGCCAGUGCACCACCGGACGCGUCUACGUACUGAAGUUUAAAGCCGGCUCCAAACGGCUUUUCUUCUGGAUGCAGGAAGCCAAGACCGACAAAGACGAGGAGUACUGUCGCAAAGUCAACGAGUACCUCAACAACCCGCCCAUGCCCGGCACGCUGGGUAGCGGCGGCAGCGGAGGACACGAUCUGUCCGCUCUGGGAGGCGAGGGCGGCCUGCAGAGCCUUCUGGGUAACAUGAGCCACAACCAGCUCAUGCAGCUGAUCGGACCGGCCGGACUCGGGGGUAUCGGCGGUCUGGGCGCACUCGCCGGUCCGGGCCUGGCCAACCUCUUGGGCAGCGGCGGCGGCGGCGGCGGCGGCAGCGGCGGCAGCAGCACCAGCAGCAGCAGCGUUCCUGCUGCCAGCAACUCCUCCACAAGCCCGUCCACCGCGGUGACGCCGACCUCGACCUCCGCCGCCAGCCGCCCGGGCGCCUCCCAGACCUCGGCCGGCGCCGCCGCCAAUCCCGCCGCUACCUCGGCGGCCUCCCCGCCCGCGAGCACCCCCCCCACGCCCACGCCCACCCCCACGCCCACCCCCGCCCCGUCGGCCGCGGCCGCCAACCCUACGCAGCCCAUCCAGCUGAGGGACCUGCAGAGCAUCCUGGCGACCAUGAACGUGCCCGCCGGCGGCGCCGGAGUGGACUUGGCCAGUGCCCUGACGCCAGAGGUGAUGGCCCCCAUCCUGGCCAAUCCUGACGUGCAGCAGCGGCUGAUGCCCUUCCUGCCCAGCGGGGAGUCGCUGCUCCAGAGCACGGACGAGCUCCACAACACGCUCACCUCGCCGCAGUUUCAGCAGGCAAAGUGGUUUUGACACAGCGAUGAGCAUGUUCAGCAGCGCUCUGGCGUCGGGGCAGUUGGGCCCUCUGAUGAACCAGUUCGGCUUGCCGACGGAGGCCGUGGACGCCGCCAACAACGGAGAUCUGGAGGCUUUCGCAAAAGCCAUGGAGACGGAGACCAAGUCCGAGCAGGAUGGAGAGUCCAAAGACAAAAAGGAUGACGACGAGGACAUGAGCUUGGACUAAGAAUAACUCUUUAUGGAUUAUUAGGAUGAUGGGGUUUGAAUCUAUCGCAGCUCGAACGCAUUUCAAUAAUAAAUCCUGCAUCGACUUCAA